rnacentral:rRNA from 1 species
UACAGAGGGGGCAAGCGUUGUUCGGAAUUACUGGGCGUAAAGGGCGCGUAGGCGGCCUGUUAAGUCGAACGUGAAAUCCCCGGGCUCAACCCGGGAACUGCGUCCGAUACUGGCAGGCUUGAAUCCGGGAGAGGGAUGCGGAAUUCCAGGUGUAACGGUGAAAUGCGUAGAUAUCUGGAGGAACACCGGUGGCGAAGGCGGCAUCCUGGACCGGCAUUGACGCUGAGGCGCGAAAGCCAGGGGAGCAAACGGG